UAACACGUAGGGUGCAAGCGUUGUCCGGAAUCAUUGGGCGUAAAGAGCUCGUAGGCGGCUUAGUAAGUCGGGUGUGAAAACCCCAGGCUCAACCUGGGGACGCCACCCGAUACUGCUAUAGCUAGAGUCCAGUAGGGGAGUGUGGAAUUCCCAGUGUAGCGGUGAAAUGCGCAGAUAUUGGGAGGAACACCAGCGGCGAAGGCGGCACUCUGGGCUGGUACUGACGCUGAG
rnacentral:rRNA from 1 species